UACCCAUUGGGAUGGAUCGGUCGAUUCGCAUAUCGAUGAACAACGGAGCUAGCUCCGUUAUUUACCACGAAUUGCAGACGCUUUGAGUGGUGAAAUUUGGAACGCACAGCGCCGUCGGGUUUUUCCCGUCGGCACGUCUGGUUCAGGGUU
rnacentral:rRNA from 1 species